UCACCUGUUUUCCUAUAAAGUUAUUAACAUCCCACAUUGCCAUGGUGUACCUGUCAAAACUAAGAAACCAACAUUGCUUGUUGAUGUCUUUUCAGCUGUUUUUAAACAAGGAAGUCUGGAAUUGAGUACGUAAGCAGAGCUGAAUCCACGGCUGUGAAGAGGGGAGCUGGCCACCCUGUGCAGUCUGGAUUCUCCAGGCAGAUGGUGGACAUGAGAAAGUGGCCUGCACCCUGAGUUGCCCUUUGGUGGCCUCAAGGGAGUCCAAGUUCCCAACCUCUGUCCAACAAGCUGACACUCACAGCCUUCUAGAGAUAGUGGGUGAUGUCACAAUUUGCUCCCACAGGGGACUGUGAUGGGGUCAGGGGGAGAAGAAGAAGAAAUAACAUCUAUCAAAUCAGCCCUGCCUCAAAGUUCAGCUCACCCACCAGGAAUAAAACAUUUUCUACUGAAAAUGAAGAUAGUUUCUGAGUGUCCAGAUCAAAGACAGAAACAUAAUCUGUUGCAAAAUUUCUGCUCUUCUUGAGUUGCUGAAAGUAGUUCUUCCUGGUGCUAAAAGACUGCAGCUCCUUGAGAGAAGAGAAUAUGUCAGUUUUGUUCUCUGCUGUAACCUCAAUGCUGAGAGCAGGGUACAGACUCCCAGCCAGGCUGUCCUGACCUCCUGGGGACAAUGGCCAAGGAAGAGAAGCUCCAUGAUGAAGCCAAGGAAAGAGGGGCUGGGCCCCUUCUGUCUCAAGUGACACUGGUCAGGAGCAGAUUCAGCUUCCACAUUUUUAUAACAAGGCUAUAAUACCUGUCUGAUGCAGCUAUUACAAAAUCUGAAGGAUAUAGCAACAAGGUACCAUCUUAGAAGCAGAUGCCAGACACAGCCCUCAGCAGGCACCAGAUCUACUGGCACCUUGAUUUUGAACUUCCCAGCCUCCAGAACUGAGCAAAUAAAUUUCUAUUAUUUGUAAAUCACUCAGU
rnacentral:lncRNA from 1 species